rfam:Oryza rufipogon genomic scaffold, chr09
AAUAAGCGUAGCCAUGAGUUUCCGCGCCCAAUUUUGAUCGUCUGUCUUAUUUGAAUUUUUUUUAUAAUUAGCAUUUUUGUUGUUAUGAGAUGAUAAAACACGAAUAGUACUUUACUCGUGACUUAUGUUUUUAAUUUUUUACUAAAAAUUUUCAAAUAAGACGAACGGUCAAAGUUGGGCGUGGAAAACCAUGGCUGCACUUAUU